AUUGAACGCUGGCGGCAUGCCUUACACAUGCAAGUCGAACGGCAGCGGGGACUUCGGUCCGCCGGCGAGUGGCGAACGGGUGAGUAAUGUAUCGGAACGUACCAUUCAGUGGGGGAUAACUAUCCGAAAGGAUAGCUAAUACCGCAUAUUCUGUGAGCAGGAAAGCAGGGGAUCGCAAGACCUUGCGCUGAUUGAGCGGCCGAAAUCAGAUUAGCUAGUUGGUGAGGUAACGGCUCACCAAGGCUACGAUCUGUAUCGGGUCUGAGAGGAUGAUCCGCCACACUGGGACUGAGACACGGCCCAGACUCCUACGGGAGGAAGCAGUGGGGAAUUUUGGACAAUGGGCGCAAGCCUGAUCCAGCCAUGCCGCGUGAGUGAAGAAGGCCUUCGGGUUGUAAAGCUCUUUCGGCCGGAAGAAAUCGCAUCAGCUAAUACCUGGUGUGGAUGACGGUACCGGAAUAAGAAGCACCGGCUAACUACGUGCCAGCAGCCGCCGUAACAC
rnacentral:rRNA from 1 species